UAACGAGGCCGGCUGCGCUAAGGAGGCAACGACUCCCAGGUGCCGCGGGGCCGCGGCCGGCCGGGCGCAGCUGCGCCUCGUCGGGAGCCGCGGGCGGGGCCCGCCCCAAAGCCUCUUAAGCUCCUCCGGAGGCUGCCGGGAGCCACGGGGGAGUUUCUGCGGUUCUGUAUGGCAGACGGAGUGAGUUCUGUUUCUUUGUCGGGCCCUGGUGCUGCUGAGGCUGAGAAGCGGCUGCUGUGAGCCCUUUUGCGGCUGAGCGAGGGCUGUAGCAGAGCCUCUCAUCGCUCCGAAGCAGGCAGCUCGUGGAAGCGGGGAGUGUUUGAGAGUCGCUCGUAGGACCGGCACGGGGCCUCCGCCCGAGACCGAGCACGAUCCCGGGGUGGCCUCGGCCACUGCGGAGUGUUUUGCGGGUGCUCUCACCCAUCCCGUUUCCAGCGGUGGGAGCGAGCAGGAAAGGCAGACCGGUCAGGCGGUGGAGUCUCUUUUCGAGGGAGAGAACGGGAACGUAUCGAGCUCCACCUAGGGAUGACUGAAGAACCAGCGGAGCGUUUGUGCGUGAGGCUGAAGAGGCAGCUGGAAAUGGUGCCCACAGCUGUGAGGCUAGUUCUCAUGGUAGGCUCCAGGAGUUUCCUGCAAUGUGUCAAAGGUAAGAUCUUCUGACACAGGUGACGAAGGAGGCAUUGAGGAGCUCCCUAUUGCAGAAGAGCCAUCUGGGGACAGGAAGGCCAGGGGCAGCCUGGAGCGUGCCAGUCGUGAGACCACAGCGUUUGGGAUCUUGUGUGGAAGCUGCAAAGCAAUGAGUAGGAUUGAAACACUGGACUUAGAGGGAGCCAGGUUUGUCCUCUUGAAGGGCCUACUUGGAGGUAACCCUUGCUCAAGCAUAGGAAGGGGUCCUGUGAAUGCUGGAGCAUUACUUUGUCCAUGCUGAGGUGCGCUGCGUCCCAAGGAGGAAGGAAGUGCGCAGGAAUGGUGGGGGACCUGCAGGGCUGACUGAGGAACUUGAAGGGGAGAAGGAAGAGAGAGGCUGAGGAAGGCCAAGUCCCUCUGAGUAUCAGCUUUGGGAGGGAGGUCAAGGCUAAUGGAAGUUUGUCAACAGGAGAGACUGGAGAAAUUGCAGGCCUGUGCUUCACAAGGCAAGGGCCUGAGUAAUGGAGGAUGGAGGACAUGCUGGAUGCCUGUUUUGGUUUCAGUGGUUUCUGCUGAGAGUGCUCCUGGGGUCCUGGAGGAGAGAGUCUCAGAGGAAGGCUGCCUUCCCCUCAGUUGCAGAGGAGCUGGUCAAAAGUGGUUCAGGCAGAAAGGAGGCCAGCAAAUGCCUGAGCUGUAGAGGGCUAUGCCUGUGCCCGCUGAGAGCUGGCAGCGGUGACCGGCAAAUGGCGCUCUCUGUCACUUUUCCCUGCUGUUUCCUGUGGGGAAAGGUACCUGAAGACUGGAGGAUGGCGGAUGCCACCGCAGCCUUCAGAAAGGGUGUGGAGGAUGGCGUGUGCAACUUGGAGGUAGGUUGGCCUCACCUCUGUUCCUGGGGAGGUGACGUAACAGCUUGUUGCAGGUGUCAUUGCCAUGUGACCGGAAGAGAAGGAAUUUGCAAGGAGCAGUCCAGGUGGAUGGACAGAGGGGAAGUCAUGCCGGACCAAAAGGGCGAGGGCUGCAGCGGAGAGCUUUGCCGAGAGGAUUGGCUGGAGCAGGUGUGCGGUUUCCCCAGCAGUGGGAUGAAGGAGGUGAGAGAGGGGGACCCCCAGGCGCGCCCCCUUGGAGGUGGUUUGUGGAGGUCUCCGUGCAGGUUCAGGCCGGAGGCAGGAUCCUGGUGGUGUGAGCGGGGUGCCCCUGUGGAGCAAGGGUGGAAGGUGCGUGGCAGGCCCUGUCCCGGAGGAGUGGAGUUGAUGGAGCGUGGCCCUUUGAUGCUGGAGUGAGGGGUCCUGGUGGGGCUGAAGUCCUGCGUGGAAGAGGGAGAUCCCAGGCGCUGCGAUGCGGAGGAGGAGCGGAGCCAGCGGUGGCUCCUGUGUGGUGAUGGCUGCUUAGUGGUGGUGUUCCUGGUCCUGGGCUGAAAGGAGGAGGAGGAGAAAGCUUUUAGUGCCUUACUUCAAAGCUCAGGCUUGGAUGACCUUGCUGAGGCUGAACAAGAGUACAAAACCUGUGAGUUAAAUGGGUGGAACAAAACUACAGCUGCUGCACCUUACCGGGCCGAGAGUCGUGACCUGAUCUUCCAUCUUUUACACAAAACGAGUCAGAUCUUCAGCUUGCUGCCACGAGUAACUCACACAUUCUCCAAUUCCUCGUAUGGAAAGAAGGUUUUCUUCUAAGGGAUUAUUCCAAUGCGUAAAAUCGGUGAAUUCACCUGUACAGUAAUGAAAUACUUUCAAUAAUUUCAUGCAAAACUUUCUUUAAGCAGUGCCUUGGGUCAGUCUUUCCAUGUGAGAGCUGCAUCAGUAAAAGUUCUCCUUUCGGUCCAUUUCUGACUUAUUUUUUAUAAUUUAGUUUAAAAGUUCAAGUCAUCCAACCAAAGCUGUGACAACAGGAAUAACAGGCUCGUGGUAUAACAGCAGUAGGAUUUAGGCACCUGUGGAGGGAGAAACACUGAAGAUUUCACCGUGGGUUCAGGGUGGGCCAAACAUUAAAAUCCCUUUCUUGGUUUAAGAUCAGAAUGCACCUUCGUGGGAUUCAUUUCUUCCUUACAUCUCAGUAACCAAGUAUGCAUUGAGUGACCUACACCUUUAAGGGGGAAAAUGGUCUCAGUCAAGCGCUGGAUGAAUAUAAAUAGUAAUAAUAAAAGCCUAUCAGUAAGGAAAAGCUGAGCAUUCUUUUUGAAUGCAAACAUAAUAAUUAAUAAUAAUCAUAAUCAUAAUCUGUGGCACAGGACCCAAAGAGACCUUUUCCUCACAGUUUCACACAGCAGUUCUCUCAUCAGCUCUGAAACCAUCUACCUCUGCAACUCAGAAAGCUUUCUUUUUUUCUUUUCCUGAAAGUUCAAGGAUACGUUAUCCAUUUUCUGGGCAAGUUUAGAACUUUGGGUCUCACUUCUGCAUACACGGAAUCUUCUCUAAAGUCACUAAGACAGAACAAAACCCGAGACCCUCUUUGGACUGCAAAUCCAGAAGCAUUCGACCCUGCGGUUCUGCCAAGCAGUGUGAAACACCGUAUUUGUAUCCGCCUCACGCAGCUCCCGCCCGAGUUUUUUCUCCGCGCUGAGCAUCAGUCUGCAGUCCUCGGUAAUUCCGGUAGAGGGCAAUACAAUAAAGCCAUUCAUAGAGGGCUCUCCGAGGCAGCUGCCGUAACUGGCUCCCACAGAACGCCUCAGGCUUUCUUCUUGUUCUGGAUUGGUGUGCUAAUGCCAAAUAUUUACAAUUGAAUCUUUUUUUGAUCCCGGGAACGCUCAUACUGCUUAUUUCUUCUUUGACAGCACAAACGCACGGGCGCGUUCUCAGUGCCUGAAAACAUCUCUAUGCAAAAAUCAAGAUAUAACUCUCUUUGCUACCACUUUUUUUUUUUGUCUCAUCCUCAGCCAUCCGUUUGAAUGUAAACGUUACAGUAUACCUCACAUCCGUAAGGAGUCUUUACAUUCAGGUGUAGUUUUAAAAAGUCUCAUAGGAACCUCUUGCAGUCGAUUAAUGGGCACAUCGGAAGCAAAUCAACUGGAAGUACGGGAUGAGUGUUAUUUAAUUCUCCCUAGGGCUUUGCUAUUCACACACUCCUCUGUGCAGGUAGAUAUUCACGUGCGUAUGAAAGGAAAACUCACCUUCAAGGCGUAACAAAGGGAAACCCGCACUGGGAUCAUUCGUAGGAAAGCAUCAUUUCACAGUACAUAGGUUUAUGGAUUGUGAGAGAUAGUGAUGCAUUUGUAAGGAUGAUCCCUACGAUAAGGUUCUGUGGUUUUAUUUUCUCAAGUCUAGACGUAUUUAGUCAAUAAUGAUUUCUUCAAAAGAUAGCCACAUCUCCAAGACAAGAACAGAACGGCCACGUGGCAGAUUUCACACAACCUCACAACAGUACCAUGAACUAUACGGGAGUUUCAUAAUUCAUGAAGGAACAAUAUUCCCUCCCGGGCACUAAAACUAGUCCAGAUAACACCAAGAACAGCUGAAAAGCCGGACAGUGUGAUUUCCCCUCUCCUCAAGUAUAGAGAGACACAAGUAUGAAACAGCUGGAAAACAUAUUCAAAGGAUGACAGGCACCACGUCACAGCAGAAGUGCCAGGUAAGCUCAGCGCAAAACAGUCCCUUUACUUCUUUCAUUCUUUCUUUCAUUUGUGACCAGAUUCAUGAGUGGAUGGAAAUGCUUGACAAAGUGAUAAUGAAUCUCUCUGAACGUUUACAUGGUUCCCAUCAGUGCAAAGACUCACCCAGUGCUAAAAGUAAUUCACUACAGUGUGUAAAAAAAAUAAACAAAUCAUUCUCCUUUUCA
rnacentral:lncRNA from 1 species